rnacentral:misc_RNA from 1 species
GAUGAAGAACGCAGCGAAAUGCGAUAAGUAGUGUGAAUUGCAGAAUUCAGUGAAUCAUCGAAUCUUUGAACGCACAUUGCGCCCCUUGGUAUUCCAUGGGGCAUGCCUGUUCGAGCGUCAUUUGUACCUUCAAGCCUUGCUUGGUGUUGGGUGUUUGUCUCGCCUCUGCGUGUAGACUCGCCUCAAAACAAUUGGCAGCCGGCGUAUUGAUUUCGGAGCGCAGUACAUCUCGCGCUUUGCACUCAGAACGACGACGUCCAAAAGUACAUUUUUACACUCUUGACCUCGGAUCAGGUAGGGAUACCCGCUGAACUUAAGCAUAUCAAUAAGCGGAGGA